UAUGGUCAAUGAUGACUCAUGUUUCUCAUGGUGACGGCUGGAUGAAUCCUGCGGAUAUGGGGCUGAGACCAAGC
rnacentral:snoRNA from 1 species